UUUUCAGCCGCCGCGGUAAUACGUAGGUGGCGAGCGUUGUCCGGAUUUACUGGGCGUAAAGGGCUUGUAGGCGGUCCGCUAAGUCUGGUGUGAAAUCUCCCGGCUCAACUGGGAGGGGUCAUUGGAUACUGGCGGACUUGAGGGGGGUAGAGGAAAGCAGAAUUCCUGGUGUAGCGGUGAAAUGCGUAGAUAUCAGGAGGAAUACCAGUGGCGAAGGCGGCUUUCUGGGCCUACCCUGACGCUGAGGAGCGAAAGCGUGGGGAGCAAACCGGAUUAGAUACCCCAGUAGUCC
rnacentral:rRNA from 1 species